rnacentral:piRNA from 1 species
AUGUGUCGAUGAGUUUGG